rnacentral:rRNA from 1 species
GAUGAACGCUAGCGGGAGGCUUAACACAUGCAAGUCGAGGGGCAGCAUUAGGUAGCAAUACUUAGAUGGCGACCGGCGCACGGGUGAGUAACACGUAUGCAACCUACCCAGUACAGGGGGACAACCCGGAGAAAUUCGGACUAAUACCCCAUAAAGAUAUAAAAAGGCAUCUUUUAAUAUUUAAAGCUACGGCGGUACUGGAUGGGCAUGCGCAACAUUAGCUAGUUGGCAGGGUAACGGCCUACCAAGGCUACGAUGUUUAGGGGACCUGAGAGGGUGAUCCCCCACACUGGUACUGAGACACGGACCAGACUCCUACGGGAGGCAG